rnacentral:rRNA from 1 species
UACGGAGGGUCCGAGCGUUAUCCGGAAUCAUUGGGUUUAAAGGGUCCGUAGGCUGGCGGCUAAGUCAGUGGUGAAAGUCUGUGGCUCAACCAUAGAAUUGCCAUUGAUACUGGUCGUCUUGAAUUGGUGUGAAGUGGUUAGAAUGAGCAGUGUAGCGGUGAAAUGCAUAGAUAUUGCUCAGAAUACCGAUUGCGAAGGCAGAUCACUAACACCAUAUUGACGCUGAGGGACGAAAGCGUGGGGAGCGAACAGG